UUGCCUACGGGGGGCAGCAGUGGGGGAUAUUGCACAAUGGGGGAAACCCUGAUGCAGCGACGCCGCGUGGGUGAAGAAGCGCCUCGGCGCGUAAAGCCCUGUCAGCAGGGAAGAAAAUGACGGUACCUGAAGAAGAAGCCCCGGCUAACUACGUGCCAGCAGCCGCGGUAAUACGUAUGGUGCGAGCGUUGUCCGGAUUUACUGGGCGUGAAGGGGGCGCAGGCGGCGCGCCAAGCCCGAUGUGAAAGCCCGGGGCUCAACCCCGGGACUGCAUUGGGAACUGGCGUGCUGGAGUGCCGGAGGGG
rnacentral:rRNA from 1 species